UACGGGGGGGGCAAGCGUUGUUCGGAAUUACUGGGCGUAAAGGGCUCGUAGGUGGCCAACUAAGUCAGACGUGAAAUCCCUCGGCUUAACCGGGGAACUGCGUCUGAUACUGGAUGGCUUGAGUUUGGGAGAGGGAUGCGGAAUUCCAGGUGUAGCGGUGAAAUGCGUAGAUAUCUGGAGGAACACCGGUGGCGAAGGCGGCAUCCUGGACCAACACUGACGCUCAGGCACGAAAGCGUGGGGAGCAAACAGG
rnacentral:rRNA from 1 species